AGGUCAGUGUGUAAAAAAAAGAGGCAACGCCUCUUCAUUUUCUUUUUGAAUAGAGGCUUCUCUGUCAUUUUUCUUUUAGAGAUUUUCAUAGAAAAAUUAUGAUCUACGAAGAUCCAACGGUCCAAUCUUAGAUCCAACUUCGAUAACAUAAUCCUCGAAACUCGAUCUACGCAUUGACCAAACGAUUUGAGAUUUUGUCUGGUUUGGAAUUGCUAGGAGCUUCCCAAGCAUUUGGUCAUUGCUCGGUGAAUUUUUGAUGAUAAUUCUAUGAUUGCAGGUACUCUUGAGCUGGAUGAUGAUCCGGUAGCGUUUUAUUUGGGUUACUACGAUUAAAGCCCGUAGCGACAGUCGUAGUGGGUUGGACUAUGGUGUCCUUAUUUUGAGUACUUUUGUAUAUGGCUUGUGACGUAUGUGUCACUUAUUAUUUUGUAUAAGUAAUUCUUUUGUAAUAGUUAUAUGUAGUCACUUUUGUAUAAAUAACAGGUUUAUUUA